AACUAACGCUGGCGGCGUGCCUAACACAUGCAAGUCGUACGAGAAAGUUGGCUUCGGCCGAUGAGUAAAGUGGCGCACGGGUGAGUAAUGCGUGGAUAAUCUGCCCUUUAGUUGGGAGUAACGUACCGAAAGGUGCGCUAAUACCUGAUAAUACUGCAUAACUACUGUUGUUAGUCAAAGAAGGCCUCUGUUUACAAGCUUUUGCUGAAGGAUGAGUCCGCGUACCAUUAGCUGGUUGGUGGGGUAAUGGCCUACCAAGGCUACGAUGGUUAGCUGGUCUGAGAGGAUGAUCAGCCACACUGGAACUGAGACACGGUCCAGACUCCUACGGGAGGCAGCAGUGAGGGAAUAUUGCGCAAUGGGGGCAACCCUGACGCAGCAACGCCGCGUGAGUGAGGAAGGUUUUCGGACCGUAAAGCUCUGUCGAGCGGGAAGAAAUGUAUCAUGGCUAAUAUCCAUGAUACUUGACGGUACCGCUAAAGG
rnacentral:rRNA from 1 species